AGCCCCGUGGUGUAUUUAAAACAUCUCGGAUUGCAAAUCCGAGGCAGUAGGUUAAUAACCUACCGGGGCUU
rnacentral:tRNA from 1 species